ensembl:snRNA U7 U7 small nuclear RNA
UAGAUUUGCUCUUUUAUAAUUUGUCCAGUAGGUUUUGUCCGAAGAAGAAGCCCCC